AUGGACGGCGACGCGGACGCCCUGAAGUCCGGGAGGCACGGGGCCGGGGACGUGUGCCAGAUCUGCGCCGACGGCCUGGGCACCACGUUGGACGGCGACGUCUUCACCGCCUGCGACGUCUGCCGCUUCCCGGUCUGCCGCCCCUGCUACGAGCACGAGCGCAAGGAGGGCACCCAGGCCUGCCUCCAGUGCAAGACCAAGUACAAGCGCCACAGAGGGAGCCCAGCGAUCCGCGGGGAGGAAGGCGACGACACUGAUGCCGAUGAUGGUAGUGACUUCAACUACCCUGCAUCUGGCACUGAGGACCAGAAGCAGAAGAUUGCUGACAGGAUGCGCAGCUGGCGCAUGAACACCGGGGGCAGUGGCAAUGUUGGCCACCCCAAGUAUGACAGUGGCGAGAUCGGCCUCUCCAAGUAUGACAGUGGAGAGAUCCCUAGGGGAUACGUCCCUUCAGUCACCAACAGCCAGAUGUCAGGAGAAAUCCCUGGAGCUUCGCCUGAUCAUCACAUGAUGUCCCCUACGGGGAACAUCAGCAGACGUGCUCCGUUUCCCUAUGUGAAUCAUUCACCAAAUCCGUCAAGGGAGUUCUCCGGCAGUAUUGGGAAUGUUGCCUGGAAAGAGAGAGUUGAUGGCUGGAAAAUGAAGCAGGACAAGGGUGCGAUUCCCAUGACUAAUGGGACAAGCAUUGCUCCCUCUGAAGGUCGGGCAGCUACUGACAUCGAUGCAUCUACUGAAUACAACAUGGAAGACGCUUUACUGAAUGAUGAAACUCGCCAGCCUCUAUCUAGAAAAGUCCCCAUUGCUUCCUCCAAAAUAAAUCCCUACAGAAUGGUCAUUGUUCUGCGGUUGGUUGUUCUAAGCAUCUUCCUGCACUACCGUCUCACAAAUCCUGUGCGUAAUGCAUACCCACUGUGGCUUUUAUCUGUUAUAUGUGAGAUUUGGUUUGCUUUAUCCUGGAUACUGGAUCAGUUCCCGAAGUGGUUUCCAAUCAACCGGGAGACCUACCUUGAUAGACUGGCUUUAAGGUAUGACCGAGAAGGUGAACCGUCUCAGUUGGCUGCUGUUGACAUAUUUGUCAGUACAGUCGACCCCUUGAAGGAGCCACCUAUCGUCACUGCCAACACUGUGCUAUCCAUUCUUGCUGUUGAUUAUCCCGUGGACAAGGUCUCUUGCUAUGUAUCUGAUGACGGAGCUUCAAUGCUGACUUUUGACGCAUUGGCUGAGACUUCAGAGUUUGCUAGGAAAUGGGUACCAUUUGUGAAGAAGUAUGACAUUGAACCCAGAGCUCCCGAGUUUUACUUUUGCCAGAAAAUUGAUUACCUGAAAGACAAAGUCCAGCCUUCAUUUGUUAAAGACCGCCGGGCCAUGAAGAGAGAAUAUGAAGAAUUUAAAAUCAGGAUAAAUGCCCUAGUUUCUAAGGCAUUGAAAGUCCCCGAGGAAGGAUGGAUCAUGCAAGAUGGCACACCAUGGCCAGGAAACAAUACCAGGGAUCAUCCUGGAAUGAUUCAGGUUUUCCUUGGUCACAGUGGUGGCCUUGAUACUGAGGGUAAUGAGCUCCCCCGUUUAGUUUAUGUGUCUCGUGAAAAGCGUCCUGGGUUCCAGCACCACAAGAAGGCUGGUGCCAUGAAUGCCCUUGUUCGUGUCUCAGCUGUCCUUACUAAUGGACAAUACAUGUUGAAUCUUGAUUGUGAUCACUACAUCAACAACAGCAAGGCUGUCCGAGAAGCUAUGUGCUUCCUAAUGGAUCCAAACCUAGGUCCGCAAGUCUGUUAUGUGCAGUUCCCACAAAGGUUUGAUGGGAUUGAUAGGAAUGAUCGAUAUGCAAACAGGAACACUGUCUUUUUUGAUAUUAACUUGAGGGGCCUUGACGGCAUUCAAGGACCAGUUUAUGUGGGAACUGGUUGUGUUUUCAACAGAACAGCUAUCUAUGGUUAUGAGCCCCCAAUUAAGGCGAAGAAGCCAGGUUUCUUGGCAUCACUAUGUGGGGGCAAGAAGAAGGCAAGCAAGUCAAAGAAAAGGAGCUCAGAUAAGAAAAAGUCGAACAAGCAUGUGGACAGUUCUGUUCCAGUAUUCAAUCUCGAAGACAUAGAGGAGGGUGUUGAAGGUGCUGGGUUUGAUGAUGAGAAAUCAGUUCUCAUGUCUCAAAUGAGCUUAGAGAAGAGAUUUGGCCAGUCAGCAGCAUUUGUUGCCUCCACUCUGAUGGAAUAUGGUGGUGUUCCUCAGUCCUCCACUCCAGAAUCUCUUUUGAAAGAAGCUAUCCAUGUCAUAAGUUGUGGCUAUGAGGACAAGUCUGAAUGGGGAACUGAGAUUGGUUGGAUCUAUGGAUCUGUCACAGAAGAUAUUCUUACUGGAUUCAAGAUGCACGCAAGAGGCUGGCGUUCAGUCUAUUGCAUGCCCAAGCGCCCAGCUUUCAAGGGAUCUGCCCCCAUCAAUCUUUCAGAUCGUCUGAACCAAGUGCUGCGGUGGGCUCUCGGUUCUGUUGAAAUUCUUUUCAGCCGGCAUUGCCCCUUAUGGUAUGGCUACGGAGGGCGCCUCAAGUUCCUGGAGAGAUUCGCUUACAUCAACACCACCAUUUACCCACUAACCUCUCUCCCGCUUCUAGUCUAUUGUAUAUUGCCUGCUAUCUGUCUGCUCACUGGAAAGUUCAUCAUGCCAGAGAUUAGCAACUUGGCCAGUAUCUGGUUCAUUGCGCUCUUCCUUUCAAUUUUCGCCACUGGUAUCCUUGAGAUGAGGUGGAGUGGUGUUGGCAUUGACGAGUGGUGGAGGAAUGAACAGUUCUGGGUCAUUGGAGGUAUCUCUGCACAUCUGUUUGCCGUCUUUCAGGGUCUUCUGAAGGUGCUUGCCGGUAUCGACACCAACUUCACUGUCACCUCAAAGGCUAAUGACGAAGAAGGCGACUUUGCUGAGCUCUACAUGUUCAAGUGGACGACGCUUCUCAUCCCUCCGACGACCAUUUUGAUCAUUAACAUGGUUGGUGUCGUUGCUGGCACCUCCUACGCCAUCAACAGUGGUUACCAAUCAUGGGGGCCGCUCUUUGGGAAGCUCUUCUUUGCCUUCUGGGUGAUUGUUCACUUAUACCCAUUCCUCAAGGGUCUUAUGGGCAGGCAAAACCGCACACCGACGAUUGUCAUCGUCUGGGCUGUCCUCCUCGCUUCUAUCUUCUCCUUGCUGUGGGUUCGUGUUGAUCCAUUCACUACCCGUCUCGCUGGCCCAAAUAUCCAAACCUGUGGCAUCAACUGCUAG
rnacentral:rRNA from 1 species